rnacentral:rRNA from 1 species
AGGACGAACGCUGGCGGCGUGCCUAACACAUGCAAGUCGAACGGGGGCGCGACAUAACCGAGGCUUCGGCCGAGGCGUUGCGCCUUAGUGGCGGACGGGUGAGUAACGCGUGGACAACCUGCCGCCUGCUGGGGGAUAACAGGGGGAAGCCCCUGCUAAUACCGCAUAAGCCCUUUCUGGGACAUCCCAGGGAGGGGAAAGGUUUAUCCGGCAGGCGGUGGGUCCGCGUCCGAUUAGCCAGUUGGCGGGGUAACGGCCCACCAAGACCGCGAUCGGUAGCCGGACUGAGAGGUUGAUCGGCCACAUUGGGACUGAGACACGGCCCAGACUCCUACGGGAGGCAGCAGUGGGGGAUAUUGCGCAAUGGGGGCAACCCUGAACCGCAGCAACGCCGCGUGAAGGAUGAAGGUUUUCGGAUUGUAAACUUCUUUUAUCAGGGACGAAGCUUGACGGUACCUGAUGAAUAAGCUCCGGCUAACUACGUGCCAGCCGCGGC